rnacentral:misc_RNA from 1 species
UCCGAGUUGACCCCGGCAGUCUCCUACGAGUCCCCGGCAUUACGCGCUGGCAACACAGGACAAGGGUUGCGCUCGUUGCGGGACUUAACCCAACACCUCACGGCACGAGCUGACGACAGCCAUGCAGCAUCUGUGCACGCUCCCUUGCGGGUCCUCAGCCUUUCGGCCUCGUACCACGUGCAUGUCAAGCCCAGGUAAGGUUCUUCGCGUUGCGUCGAAUUAAACCACAUGCUCCACCGCUUGUGCAGGCCCCCGUCAAUUUCUUUGAGUUUUAACCUUGCGGCCGUACUCCCCAGGCGGAUAACUUAAUGCGUUAGCUGCGCCACCAAAAGCCCAUGGCCCCUGACAGCUAGUUAUCAUCGUUUACGGCGUGGACUAC